UGCAGUCGAACGUGAAAGCACUUCGGUGUGAGUAGAGUGGCGGACGGGUGAGUAACGCGUGGGAAUCUGCCCAGUAGUGGGGGACAACUACCGGAAACGGUAGCUAAUACCGCAUACGCCCUAUGGGGGAAAGGCUUCGGCCGCUAUUGGAUGAGCCCGCGUCAGAUUAGCUAGUUGGUAGGGUAAAGGCCUACCAAGGCAACGAUCUGUAGCUGGUCUGAGAGGACGAACAGCCACACUGGGACUGAGACACGGCCCAGACUCCUACGGGAGGCAGCAGUGGGGAAUAUUGGACAAUGGGCGAAAGCCUGAUCCAGCAAUGCCGCGUGUGUGAAGAAGGCCUGCGGGUUGUAAAGCACUUUCAGUUGGGAAGAUGAUGACGUUACCAACAGAAGAAGCACCGGCUAAAUCCGUGCCAGCAGCCGCGGUAAUACGGAUGGUGCGAGCGUUAAUCGGAAUUACUGGGCGUAAAGCGCGCGUAGGCGGCUAAGUCAGUCAGAAGUGAAAGCCCCGGGCUCAACCUGGGAAUUGCUUUUGAUACUGCUUGGCUAGAGUUUGGUAGAGGAUAGUGGAAUUCCAGGUGUAGCGGUGAAAUGCGUAGAUAUCUGGAGGAACAUCAGUGGCGAAGGCGACUGUCUGGACCAAAACUGACGCUGAGGUGCGAAAGCGUGGGUAGCAAACAGGAUUAGAUACCCUGGUAGAAGGGC
rnacentral:rRNA from 1 species